UUAUUAAAUUCUGACAACCCUCAGGCAAAGUGAAUACAAUUCAAGGUGACAUUUACUGUCAAGAAAAUCUUGCCCUUUCUAAGAAAGUGGUUUGUCAACACUCUGUGCAUAUUGGAAUCACCUGGAGAGGUAUUUUUAAAAACACACUGAGAGGUUAUGAUCUAAUUGGCCUGAUAUAGGAUGGUUCUAAUGAGCUACCACAGUUAAGAACUACCACCCUAAGUGGGUAAAUAGAAGCCACCAGAUUCUUAAAAACCCAGGGAGGAACUCUCAGCAUUGCAGUGAUGACCUCUGUAACCAAGAGUACACAAAUAAAGAACGAUAAAGUAAAUGAAGCUCCAUUAGCACUGAAAACCAGUGAGGUGAGGAAGAUCCAUUCUACAGUUAGAAGGUCUUAAUCACAACUGUGUCAUGUCUACAGUUAUUUUUGCAAGAUGCGGCACAGGACACCCUAUGGGCAGCUUAUGCUGGCACCCUAGAGGGCAAUAUCCCGGCAGAUGGCUUCUCAACGAAUUCUUCAGCAUGGCGUCUUCUCAGGGAUGGCUUCCCUACACCAGAGGACAGAGUCUUCACAGCACUACUGCAAGGUCUCCACCAUCCAGUGGGUCAUGGCUGCGGAGUCUCCAGUGAAGUCUGAAUCUCAUGGGCAGGGGAGAGGAGGGUAGGGUCUUCCAAAUGUGUUUCUUCCUUGGACGCUCCACCUCAGCCCUAGAUGGGGGGCUGCUCCCCACGUCUGCUAUUACUCUUCCUUUCCCUAUGUUUUCUUUACUCCUUAGUAGGUUAUAGUUAAUACUGUUAUAGUUAAUACUUCUUUAUAUUAAACUUCCUUUGUUUCCA